rnacentral:rRNA from 1 species
UACGGGGGGAGCAAGCGUUGUUCGGAUUUACUGGGCGUAAAGGGCGCGUAGGCGGCCAGCACAAGUCAGUUGUGAAAUCUCCGAGCUUAACUCGGAAAGGUCAACUGAUACUGUGCGGCUAGAGUGCGGAAGGGGCAACUGGAAUUCUUGGUGUAGCGGUGAAAUGCGCAGAUAUCAGGAGGAACACCUAUUGCGAAGGCAGCUCGCUGGGACGUUACUGACGCUGAGACGCGAAAGCGUGGGGAGCAAACAGG